AACGAACGCUGGCGGCAUGCCUAACACAUGCCAGUCGAACGAGACCUUCGGGUCUAGUGGCGCACGGGUGCGUAACGCGUGGGAACCUGCCCUUAGGUUCGGAAUAACUCCCCGAAAGGGGUGCUAAUACCGGAUAAUGUCUUCGGACCAAAGAUUUAUCGCCUUUGGAUGGGCCCGCGUUGGAUUAGCUAGUUGGUAGGGUAAAAGCCUACCAAGGCGACGAUCCAUAGCUGGUCUGAGAGGAUGAUCAGACACACUGGUACUGUGACACGGCCCAGACUCCUACGGGAGGCAGCAGUGGGGAAUAUUGGACAAUGGGCGAAAGCCUGAUCCAGCAAUGCCGCGUGAGUAAUGAAGGCCUUAGGGUUGUAAAGCUCUUUUACCCGGGAUGAUAAUGACAGUACCGGGAGAAUAAGCUCCGGCUAACUCCGUG
rnacentral:rRNA from 1 species